UACGUAGGGUGCAAGCGUUGUCCGGAAUUAUUGGGCGUAAAGAGCUCGUAGGCGGUCUGUCGCGUCGGCUGUGAAAACUCGGGGCUCAACCCCGAGCCUGCAGUCGAUACGGGCAGACUAGAGUGCUGUAGGGGAGACUGGAAUUCCUGGUGUAGCGGUGAAAUGCGCAGAUAUCAGGAGGAACACCGGUGGCGAAGGCGGGUCUCUGGGCCGAUAUCGACGCUGAGGAGCGAAAGCGUGGGGGAGCGAACAGG
rnacentral:rRNA from 1 species